GUUUUUUGGGCAGCGGACGGACGGGACAGUGUCGUUAUCGCGAAGCUGUGCAGUGCGACGCUAUGCGAUGCGGGGCUACGUGAUGCAGAAGCGGUAGGCUAAUUUAAUUUUUGGAUCUACCUCUGGUUACACCUCCGGAAGAAAUGGUACACAUAGUAAACAGUACACACAGCCAGGAAUUCCAAUGUUCUCGUACAAGGUGAAACCGUACGUGAAAUGACCAGAUUGGUUAGCAUCUGGGUCCUCAGGAAUAAAUGGAUCAUCCAUGCAAUUAAUGGAGAUUUUUCCCAUAUGGAUGAUGGAAUCUUAACUGCACGAGGCCCCUCACAAAGGAGAGAUACCAGUUGUCACAUUACUGUGCAAACAGGCUGCAAUGUGGUACCUGUUGCCCCCCCCCCCCCAUAGGGCUUCUUUGUAAUAACAAAGAAAAAAUAGAGGGGAUUCCUAUAGAAAUAAUUGAUAUAUGGUCUUUGGAAAA